GACGAACGCUGGCGGCGUGCUUAACACAUGCAAGUCGAACGGAAAGGCCCUGCUUUUGUGGGGUGCUCGAGUGGCGAACGGGUGAGUAACACGUGAGUAACCUGCCCUUGACUUUGGGAUAACUUCAGGAAACUGGGGCUAAUACCGGAUAGGAGCUCCUGCUGCAUAGUGGGGGUUGGAAAGUUUCGGCGGUUGGGGAUGGACUCGCGGCUUAUCAGCUUGUUGGUGGGAUAGUGGCUUACCAAGGCUUUGACGGGUAGCCGGCCUGAGAGGGUGACCGGCCACAUUGGGACUGAGAUACGGCCCAGACUCCUACGGGAGGCAGCAGUGGGGAAUAUUGCACAAUGGGCGGAAGCCUGAUGCAGCAACGCCGCGUGCGGGAUGACGGCCUUCGGGUUGUAAACCGCUUUCGCCUGUGACGAAGCGUGAGUGACGGUAAUGGGUAAAGAAGCACCGGCUAACUACGUG
rnacentral:rRNA from 1 species